AAUAGGCAUUCAAAGUAUGUUGGCAUAGCGCUGAGCGGACACAGUCCUGUUUGUCAAAGCGGAUGAUGCCAAUCAUUUCAUCCUCAGCGAAACGCUCCAGCGCAUCACUAAGACCCGAUUUCACGCCACGCGGAAGGUCGCAUUGGGUGAUAUCGCCAUUAACGAUAACCGUGACAUUUUCACCGAGACGGGUC
rnacentral:antisense_RNA from 1 species